rnacentral:rRNA from 1 species
AGUGAACGCUGGCGGCAGGCCUAAUACAUGCAAGUCGAGCGGAGCGGCGGACGGGUGAGUAAUGCCUAGGCAUCUGCCCGGCAGUGGGGGACAACGUCUGGAAACGGGCGACAAUACCGCAUAAGAUCAGAUGAGUCUAGUUCGGAAUAGCUAGUUGGUGGGGUAAAGGCCUACCAAGGCGCCGAUCCGUAACUGGUCUGAGAGGAUGUUCAGUCAACCUGGAACUGAGACCCGGUCCAGACUCCUACGUGAGGCAGCAGUAGGGAAUAUUGGACAAUGGGCGAAAGCCUGAUCCAGCCAUGCCGCGGGUGUGAAGAAGGUCUUCGGAUUUUAAAGCACUUUAAGUUGGGAGGCGUUACCAACAGAAUAAGUACCGGCGAACUUCGUGCCAGCAGCCGCGGUAAUAC